rnacentral:rRNA from 1 species
AUUGAACGCUGGCGGCAGGCCUAACACAUGCAAGUCGGACGGGAUUUGGGAGCUUGCUCCUAAUGAGAGUGGCGCACGGGUGCGUAACACGUAUGUAACCUACCUUAAUCAGGGGGAUAGCCUCUCGAAAGAGAGAUUAACACCGCAUAAUAUAUUUUUAUGGCAUCGUAGAAAUAUCAAAUAUUUAUAGGAUUAAGAUGGGCAUGAGGAACAUUAGCUAGUUGGUAAGGUAACGGCUUACCAAGGCUACGAUGUUUAGGGGAUCUGAGAGGCGGGCCCCCCACACUGGUACGGAGACCGAGACCAGACUCCGACGGGAGGCAGCAGUAAGGAAUAUUGGUCAAUGGGCGCAAGCCUGAACCAGCCAUGCCGCGUGCAGGAAGACGGCCCUAUGGGUUGUAAACUGCUUUUGUACCGGAAUAAACCCUUUUACGUGUAGAAGGCUGAAUGUACGGUAAGAAUAAGGAUCGGCUAACUCCGUGCCAGCCGCCGCCGUAA